GCAGGAUUUGAGGAGCGGGGGCAGACGGCGUUUGGAGAGCUUUUUCCAGAAACUAUCCGGAACCCAGCGCAGUUUCUGAGAGCGCCCCAAGGGAUUUCUCAAAGAAGGCACCCCAGCAAUUGCUUUUCUUGACGACUUGCUUUUCCUCUGGCGGCACGGAGACCCACAUACCGCUCUAAAGGCGACCACACACCCCAGCACCCAGGCUCGUUGUCGCCCUCCCGCCUGUCCUCCCGCGGAAGGGAGGGGCCCCACCCCCAGCGUUGUGGGGCACGGGUCCUAAAAGGGCGCCUACGUGUACCGCUCCUGGACACCCUCCCCCCCCCCAGGACGCUUUCUGUAGAGUGGGGUGAAAGUCUGAGAAGAAUCGCUCUGCCACUGGCAAGAACACAAUUUUCCCGUAGCCUUCAUCUGCGCCCUCCUUUUCAUAAUGUCUUGAUUUCCCCUGUGCACCCCCGAGCCGGCUGCAGCACUGGCUCUUGGAGCUUGAAGUGCCCUUUAAGGCUCCUCAGAGCGAACUGCUCUGCCUUCUGGUCGAAGCGCAGGGAGUGGGUUCCACUUGGCAGGGAUUAUUUUAAACUGCUACCUGCAAUUCACGCGACAUCCGACACCGGUAGCCCAGCCCGCGCGGUGCCCGCCAGAGGCGAAACAGGGGUUACAUUGAUGUUCCCUGCUUUAUUCUUUCUCUGCAGAUGAACUUCCUCUGUGCUCACAGAAAAGAUAGCUGACCUCCCCCCCUGCCAAAAUUCCAAAACGUAUGUACUCCUAGAUCAAGUACAGAGACUCACGAGAGUACUUGUCAUACGCUCACAUUCUUGAGUAACAGACUCCCCUGAGUCAGGGGUCUUUCCCUUGUUCCCCUGUCAAUGAUAGACAUGACCCUGAUCCCCUGCUCUGUGCAGGGAGUGGGAGUGUGGGUGAGUUCUCAGAAAAUGUAGGUCGGGGCAUCUGGGUGGCUCAGUCAGUUACGCGUCUGACUCUUGAUUUCAGCUCAGGUCAUGAUCUCUCGGUCACGAGUUCAAGCCCAGCGUUGAAACUGAGCUCUGCGCUCAGGCGGGAGCCUGCUUGGGAUUCUUUCUCUCCCUCUCUACCCAUCCCAUGCCACGUGCUCUCUCUGUCGCUCAAAAAUAAAUAAACAUUAAAAAUUUUUAUGUUUAUUUUU
rnacentral:lncRNA from 1 species